UUCCCUCACCCUAAUUCCUAUCAGUGGGCGGCUGAAUUCAGAGACACAAAACCUGGGUGUGUGGAUAGUUGACCUUUCCUUGUCUUUCCUGUGUGUCUUAGUUUCUUUUCCUGUUGCUUGCGAAAUAAGGAAGGGCCCAGGAACAAUGGAAAUGAAGGAAUGAGCAACAGCAGCAGAAGCCAUCCAGAACUCAGAGACCAGUGAGGAUGCAGAUAUGCUCUAUGAAGAAAAAGAAGAGAAAUUCUGGUUCCAAUGUGAGCAGAGGGCACAGGGAGCCCAGAGGAAGGACCUGGAGGUCUCAGACUUAACUGUGAGUGGCACCCUCUGCUGACUAAUUAAUGAACAGAGCCUGGGGGA